UCUGGAUUGGAUAUUGCCUGCAGCGUCAGAAGGCUGCUCCUGCAGAGGAAUCCAGCAAGGGAUCGUUGCCGAAUGCCUUUCUCACCUCUGGGAGAGCCAAUGAGUGAAGCACAGCAGCAGGUGGGAUGCUACAGGACCACCACACAGGCAUGGGAUCCUUUUGAUUGGAAAAGACCUUGAAGAUUGAGUCCAGCCAUCCUCUAACUCCACCAAGGCUGGCACUAAACUAUGGCCCUCAUCUCUGCAUCUUCUAAACACCUUCAAGGAUGGGGAUUCCACCACCUCCCUGAGCAGCUUGUUCCAGUGUUUGAGAACUCUUUCAGUGAAGAAUUUUCUUCUGAUGUUCAAUCUAAACAUCCCCUGCUGCAAUUUGAGGCCCUUUCUUCUCAUCCUAUCACAUGGCAGCUCCUGUAAGCACAAGACACUGCAGAUAGACGAGAAGGACUUUCCUCCUGCAGACAAGUGUUGCUGGCUGCUACCUGGAGAGAUCUGCUCUAACACAUGGCAAAAACAAGAUGGGAAAAUAACUGCUGGAUUACGACUUGACCGUGACCAGGAGCACUCAUGGGACUAUUGCUCUGAUCUAAUCCUCACAAAGUCUGACCCUUCCCUUCGAAUGAAGACUAAUCCAUCACACCCUGAUUGGGAGCAACAAAUGUGGUGUUUACAUGAAUCUCAGUGAUUUGGCCAGCACCAAUUUUCCAGGAAAACAGAACCAUCCCCAGACCAGCAGCAAGAUGCAUCUGUUAAAAUGAGCUGCUUCCUAAAGCUAGAAACACGAGUUCACUUCAGGAGGAUUUUCAGCUACAAAACAUGGAAUUACUGGAGAGGCUCUGGCAAGGGAUGCAAAGAUGCUGAGGGCUCUGAAGCAUAGCAGCAAGGAGAAAAAGCUGAAAGCCCUGGAGCCGUUUAGCCAGGAGCAGAGCAAGGCAUCUUCUCAGUGCUCAGCAACAGCUAAAGAAUGGAGGGCAAGAGGAUGGAGCCAGACUCUUUUCAGUGAUGCCCAGGGACAGGACAAGGAACAGUGGGCACAAACUGGAAUGCUCAGAUUAUACCUGAACAAGAGGAAAAACUUUGCUGAGAGGGUGACUGGAGCAGGCUGACCAGAGACAUUGUGGAGAGAUUUCCAAACCCACCUGGAUGCUGUGAUCCUGAGUAACCUGCUGUAGGUGGCCCUGCUUUAGCAGGGAGGUUAGAAUAGGUGAUCCCCAGAGGUUCCUUCCCACCUUUAUCAUCUUCUCUUUCUUUGAACAUCCUGAGCAACCUUAUCCUGAGCAACCCCUACCCUGUGAGUUUAACAUAUGGAAGUUAGGAGACUUCAACAAACAAAGAAGUUCCCAGUUAGAAAAAAAAAAAGGGGGGUGGGGUGGGGAAAAACAACAAACA